AUUGAACGCUGGCGGUAUGCCUUACACAUGCAAGUCGAACGGCAGCACGGGAGCUUGCUCCUGGUGGCGAGUGGCGAACGGGGGCGUAAUAGAUAGGCACCUGUCCUGACGUGGGGGAUAGCGAGGAGGAAGCCGGACUAAUACUGCAUACGCUCUACGGAUGAAAGUGAAGGCCCGUCAGGUUUCGCGCUUUCGGGAUGGCAGAUGGCGGAUUAGCUAGUUGGUGGGGUAAAGGCCUACCAAGGCGACGAUCAGUAGCUGGUCUGAGAGGACGACCAGCCACACUGGAACUGAGACACGGUCCAGACUCCUACGGGAGGCAGCAGUGGGGAAUUUUGGACAAUGGGCGAAAGCCUGAUCCAGCAAUGCCGCGUGUGUGAAGAAGGCCUUCGGGUUGUAAAGCACUUUUGUCCGGAAAGAAAUCCUUGACCCUAAUACGGUGGUGGGAUGACGGUACCGGAAGAAUAAGCACCGGCUAACUUCGUG
rnacentral:rRNA from 1 species